UUCACCAGUUUAGUUGAUUUAUAGCUAUACAUCUUUUAGUUUUCUUUUUAUGAUUUAAGACAAAAUUAAAUCACACAGCCAUUUCUCUCUGCCUUGCAUAUCAAUUUAGUGGAGAGGAUGCAUACAAGAAAAUACGAGCCGGUGCAACUCUUGUUCAGCUCUACACUGCAUUCGCUUAUGGGGGACCUGCACUUAUUCCUCAGAUAAAGGUAUUACUAAUCUUGCACAUGUUAAAGAUUAUGGUUGAUGACUUAACUUUGUUUUUUGUAUGCACCAAAAUUCUCAUUCGUAUUAAAUUGGUUUUAGGCUGAAUUAGCUGAGUGCUUGGAAAGAGAUGGUUUCAAAUCCAUUAUUGAUGCAGUUGGUGCUGAUUACAGAUGACUUUUAUCAACAUAUGAAUACUAUGCUGUAAGAAGCAUAUUAUAGGUGUAUCAGUACUCAAGUUGCAAAAGUUAAUUCCACUUUUUUGCUUCCUUUAAUUUAUAUCUGAGGUCAUCUUAUGUGUAUUUUUAUUGGGUCUUCUGUUGCAUACAAAUGUCCUGACCUGUAAAACCGGGAGCAUAUCUGCUGUACCACAGAGUAUGCCACUCCAUGUGGCACUGAUUGUGAUUGGUUGUAAAAAAUGCAUGUAAGUUAAAAAAUAAUGAUGAAGUAUUUUUUUGACCAAUCAUAAAUAAUGACAUAUGGAGUGGUACACUUCUAUGGGAUAGCAGAUGUUCACCCAUAAAACCGAGGGUUGUUGUGGCAAUUCAGGCCAAAUGGUUUUUGAGCUAUUGUUUGGCAAUAAACCGCUGAAUCAUUUGAGCUUUGAUUAACAUAUUUUUUUAUGGGAUUCAUUGAAUAACAUAAUUUAUUUCAUUGCAGAUUCAUGAAUCAUGAUUGUCAAUCCUUCAUUACAUGCUUGAAAUUGUUUGUGGAUAAUGUUAUGUUUUAUACACAUUUACGCAUACAUCAUUUCACGUAUGCAUAAUAUCAUUUUAUCAACAAUUAUGCAUACAAAAUUUGUUCUUAUAUAAGAUUGUGUCCUAUACUUAUGUAGCAAACUUUCCAUAAUUAUGUGGUAAAGUUUUAAUAUUCUUAAAUCAUUCACCUUUAACUAGAAUUAGAGUGUCUCUUACUAAAUUUAUAGUUCACAUGUUCUCUCUUUACUAAAAUAAAAGUCAUGUGCUUUGAAAGAUCUCCAUAUCUUUGAUUUCACAUAUCAACUCCCUACUUAUAACAUUAUUCUACAUAGACACAUUCUAAACUAAGAUAAAAAGUAUUUCUAUAGUAGUUGUAAGAAAGCCUUAUUUGGGUAUGGUUUCUUUUUUCACAUUAUUUUUUGGUCUAUUAUACACGCUCUUAAUUCCUUUAAUAUAGGUAAUAAAAAAAGUAAAAGUUUUCCAUGUGAGAAGGGGACAGUAGGGCUUAUAUUUAAGGAGACGCAAUCACAGUCACAAGCUCUCACUCCCACACUUAUGGAAGCACAUCUGUUGUCUCACAAGUUGUGUCAUUACAUGUGUCACUAACUAUUUCGAGACCAGAUUCUGUCAGUAGUGAUCCAGUGGCUUCAGAAACUGGUGGCUUGAGUGGGAAGCCUCUCUUCAAUCUCUCUACCAAUAUCUUGAAGGAUAUGUAUAUCUUGACAAGGGUAUGUUUGUUGGUUAAAAUAUUGUGAUUUGUAAACAUUAUUGUGAUAAGAGCUUUUCUAGUGUAUCCCACCUUUAUAUCUGGAUUGUGAAAGAGAUACUGUAUCCUAGGUUGCUAUUGUAUCACUUAUAAGCACCAUAUUAAGAUGCCAUAUAAAUAAAAUACUUAGAGCUCAUGUUUUCUGCUGUCUAGUUUACCUUGUCUUAAGCUGCUGUUUCUUUUCUGUGGUUUGCUUAUAUCAGGGCAGGAUCCCUUUGAUUGGCUGUGGGGGCAUUAGCAGGUAAAAAUACCCAUUAUUCUGUCACUUCUUCACCAGUUUAGUUGAUUUAUAGCUAUACAUCUUUUAGUUUUCUUUUUAUGAUUUAAGACAAAAUUAAAUCACACAGCCAUUUCUCUCUGCCUUGCAUAUCAAUUUAGUGGAGAGGAUGCAUACAAGAAAAUACGAGCCGGUGCAACUCUUGUUCAGCUCUACACUGCAUUCGCUUAUGGGGGACCUGCACUUAUUCCUCAGAUAAAGGUAUUACUAAUCUUGCACAUGUUAAAGAUUAUGGUUGAUGACUUAACUUUGUUUUUUGUAUGCACCAAAAUUCUCAUUCGUAUUAAAUUGGUUUUAGG
rnacentral:lncRNA from 1 species